CUACAAUCCCUGUGUCUUUAGGUGACCCAAGCACUAGCAGUGUCCCUCUCUACAAUCCCUGUGUCUUUAGGUGACCCAAGCACUAGCAGUGUCCCUCUCUACAACCCCUGUGUCUUUAGGUGACCCAAGCACUAGCAGUGUCCCUCUCUACAACCCCUGUGUCUUUAGGUGACCCAAGCACUAGCAGUGUCCCUCUCUACAACCCCUGUGUCUUUAGGUGACCCAAGCACUAGCAGUGUCCCUCUCUACAAUCCCUGUGUCUUUAGGUGUCAGUGUCCCUCUCUACAAUCCCUGUGUCUUUAGGUGACCCAAGCACUAGCAGUGUCCCUCUCUACAAUCCCUGUGUCUUUAGGUGACCCAAGCACUAGCAGUGUCCCUCUUUACAAUCCCUGUGUGUCUUUAGGUGACCCAAGCACUAGCAGUGUCCCUCUCUACAACCCCUGUGUCUUUAGGUGACCCAAGCACUAGCAGUGUCCCUCUCUACAACCCCUGUGUCUUUAGGUGACCCAAGCACUAGCAGUGUCCCUCUCUACAACCCCUGUGUCUUUAGGUGACCCAAGCACUAGCAGUGUCCCUCUCUACAAUCCCUGUGUCUUUAGGUGACCCAAGCACUAGCAGUGUCCCUCUCUACAACCCCUGUGUCUUUAGGUGACCCAAGCACUAGCAGUGUCCCUCUCUACAAUCCCUGUGUCUUUAGGUGACCCAAGCACUAGCAGUGUCCCUCUCUACAAUCCCUGUGUCUUUAGGUGACCCAAGCACUAGCAGUGUCCCUCUCUACAACCCCUGUGUCUUUAGGUGACCCAAGCACUAGCAGUGUCCCUCUCUACAAUCCCUGUGUCUUUAGGUGACCCAAGCACUAGCAGUGUCCCUCUCUACAACCCCUGUGUCUUUAGGUGACCCAAGCACUAGCAGUGUCCCUCUUUACAACCCCUGUGUCUUUAGGUGACCCAAGCACUAGCAGUGUCCCUCUCUACAACCCCUGUGUCUUUAGGUGACCCAAGCACUAGCAGUGUCCCUCUCUACAACCCCUGUGUCUUUAGGUGACCCAAGCACUAGCAGUGUCCCUCUCUACAACCCCUGUGUCUUUAGGUGACCCAAGCACUAGCAGUGUCCCUCUCUACAAUCCCUGUGUCUUUAGGUGACCCAAGCACUAGCAGUGUCCCUCUCUACAAUCCCUGUGUCUUUAGGUGACCCAAGCACUAGCAGUGUCCCUCUCUACAACCCCUGUGUCUUUAGGUGACCCAAGCACUAGCAGUGUCCCUCUCUACAACCCCUGUGUCUUUAGGUGACCCAAGCACUAGCAGUGUCCCUCUCUACAACCCCUGUGUCUUUAGGUGACCCAAGCACUAGCAGUGUCCCUCUCUACAACCCCUGUGUCUUUAGGUGACCCAAGCACUAGCAGUGUCCCUCUCUACAACCCCUGUGUCUUUAGGUGACCCAAGCACUAGCAGUGUCCCUCUCUACAAUCCCUGUGUCUUUAGGUGACCCAAGCACUAGCAGUGUCCCUCUCUACAACCCCUGUGUCUUUAGGUGACCCAAGCACUAGCAGUGUCCCUCUCUACAACCCCUGUGUCUUUAGGUGACCCAAGCACUAGCAGUGUCCCUCUUUACAACCCCUGUGUCUUUAGGUGACCCAAGCACUAGCAGUGUCCCUCUCUACAACCCCUGUGUCUUUAGGUGACCCAAGCACUAGCAGUGUCCCUCUCUACAACCCCUGUGUCUUUAGGUGACCCAAGCACUAGCAGUGUCCCUCUCUACAAUCCCUGUGUCUUUAGGUGACCCAAGCACUAGCAGUGUCCCUCUUUACAACCCCUGUGUCUUUAGGUGACCCAAGCACUAGCAGUGUCCCUCUUUACAAUCCCUGUGUCUUUAGGUGACCCAAGCACUAGCAGUGUCCCUCUUUACAAUCCCUGUGUCUUUAGGUGACCCAAGCACUAGCAGUGUCCCUCUCUACAACCCCUGUGUCUUUAGGUGACCCAAGCACUAGCAGUGUCCCUCUCUACAACCCCUGUGUCUUUAGGUGACCCAAGCACUAGCAGUGUCCCUCUCUACAACCCCUGUGUCUUUAGGUGACCCAAGCACUAGCAGUGUCCCUCUCUACAAUCCCUGUGUCUUUAGGUGACCCAAGCACUAGCAGUGUCCCUCUCUACAACCCCUGUGUCUUUAGGUGACCCAAGCACUAGCAGUGUCCCUGU